rnacentral:rRNA from 1 species
AAUUUUUGACAAUGGGGGAAACCCUGAUCCAGCAAUGCCGCGUGCAGGAUGAAGGCCUUCGGGUUGUAAACUGCUUUUGUACGGAACGAAAAGUCUUGGGCUAAUACCCAGGGAACAUGACGGUACCGUAAGAAUAAGCACCGGAUAACUACGUGCCAGCAGCCGCGGUAAUACGGACGGUGCAAGCGUUAAUCGGAAUUACUGGGCGUAAAGCGUGCGCAGGCGGUUUUGUAAGACAGUGGUGAAAGCCCCGGGCUCAACCUGGGAACUGCCAUUGUGACUGCAAGGCUGGAGUGCGGCAGAGGGGGAUGGAAUUCCGCGUGUAGCAGUGAAAUGCGUAGAUAUGAGGAGGAACACCGAUGGCGAAGGCAAUCCACUGGGCCUGCACUGACGCUCAUGCACGAAAGCGUGGGGAGCAAACAGG